rnacentral:rRNA from 1 species
AGAGUUUGAUCAUGGCUCAGAACGAACGCUGGCGGCGUGGAUAAGACAUGCAAGUCGAACGGGAAUUCAUUUGUAGCAAUACCGAUGAAUUCUAGUGGCGAACGGGUGCGUAACACGUGAGCAAUCUGCCGGGAAGUGGGGGAUAACUCGUCGAAAGGCGAAUUAAUACCGCAUAUGGCCAGGGGGGACAUCCUCCCGAAGCCAAAGUAGCAAUACGCUUCCUGAUGAGCUCGCGGCCUAUCAGCUAGUUGGUGAGGUAACGGCUCACCAAGGCAAUGACGGGUAGCUGGUCUGAGAGGACGACCAGCCACACUGGAACUGAGACACGGUCCAGACACCUACGGGUGG